UAUUGGACAAUGGGGGGAACCCUGAUCCAGCGACGCCGCGUGAGUGAAGAAGUAUCUCGGUAUGUAAAGCUCUAUCAGCAGGGAAGAAANAAAUGACGGUACCUGAGUAAGAAGCCCCGGCUAACUACGUGCCAGCAGCCGCGGUAAUACGUAGGGGGCAAGCGUUAUCCGGAUUUACUGGGUGUAAAGGGAGCGUAGACGGAAAGGCAAGUCAGAAGUGAAAGCCCAAGGCUCAACCAUGGGGCUGCUUUUGAAACUGUCAAACUAGAGUACGGGAGAGGUAAGAGGAAUUCCUAGUGUAGCGGUGAAAUGCGUAGAUAUUAGGAGGAACACCAGUGGCGAAGGCGUCUUACUGGACCGAAACUGACGUUGAGGCUCGAAAGCGUGGGGAGCAAACAGG
rnacentral:rRNA from 1 species